UACGAAGGGGGCUAGCGUUGCUCGGAAUCACUGGGCGUAAAGCGCACGUAGGCGGCUUUCUAAGUCAGGGGUGAAAUCCUGGAGCUCAACUCCAGAACUGCCUUUGAUACUGGAGAGCUUGAGUCCGGAAGAGGUGAGUGGAACUCCGAGUGUAGAGGUGAAAUUCGUAGAUAUUCGGAAGAACACCAGUGGCGAAGGCGAGUCCCUGGACAACUUCUGACGCUGAGGCACGAAAGCUAGGGGAGCAAACAGG
rnacentral:rRNA from 1 species